rnacentral:tRNA from 1 species
GAGUCAGUAGCAUAGUGGUUAGUGCACAGAUAGGUUGAGACGCGGGUUCGAAUCCCGCCUGAUGCG